rnacentral:rRNA from 1 species
UACGGAGGAUCCGAGCGUUAUCCGGAUUUAUUGGGUUUAAAGGGUGCGCAGGCGGGAGAUUAAGUCGGCGGUGAAAUUUUGCAGCUCAACUGUAAAAGUGCCUUCGAAACUGGUUUCCUUGAGUGUAGAUGAAGUAGGCGGAAUUUGUGGUGUAGCGGUGAAAUGCGUUGAUAUCAUGAAGAACACCGGUGGCGAAGGCGGCUCUCUGGAAUUCUGCUGACGCUGAGGCGCGAAAGUCGGGGGAGCAAACAGGAUUAGAUACCCCUGUAGUCCCU